GGGUUGUGAGGUUAAGCGACUAAGCGUACACGGUGGAUGCCCUGGCAGUCAGAGGCGAUGAAGGGCGUGCUAAUCUGCGAUAAGCGCCGGUAAGGUGAUAUGAACCGUUAUAACCGGCGAUACCCGAAUGGGGAAACCCAGUGUGAUUCGUCACACUAUCAUUAACUGAAUCCAUAGGUUAAUGAGGCGAACCGGGGGAACUGAAACAUCUAAGUACCCCGAGGAAAAGAAAUCAACCGAGAUUCCCCCAGUAGCGGCGAGCGAACGGGGAGGAGCCCAGAGCCUGAAUCAGCAUGUGUGUUAGUGGAAGCGUCUGGAAAGGCGCGCGAUACAGGGUGACAGCCCCGUACACAAAAGCGCAUGUGUUGUGAGCUCGAUGAGUAGGGCGGGACACGUGGUAUCCUGUCUGAAUAUGGGGGGACCAUCCUCCAAGGCUAAAUACUCCUGACUGACCGAUAGUGAACCAGUACCGUGAGGGAAAGGCGAAAAGAACCCCGGCGAGGGGAGUGAAAAAGAACCUGAAACCGUGUACGUACAAGCAGUGGGAGCACAGGUUUACCUGUGUGACUGCGUACCUUUUGUAUAAUGGGUCAGCGACUUAUAUUCUGUAGCAAGGUUAACCGUAUAGGGGAGCCGGAGGGAAACCGAGUCUUAAUUGGGCGUUAAGUUGCAGGGUAUAGACCCGAAACCCGGUGAUCUAGCCAUGGGCAGGUUGAAGGUUGGGUAACACUAACUGGAGGACCGAACCGACUAAUGUUGAAAAAUUAGCGGAUGACCUGUGGCUGGGGGUGAAAGGCCAAUCAAACCGGGAGAUAGCUGGUUCUCCCCGAAAGCUAUUUAGGUAGCGCCUCGUGAAUUCAUCUCCGGGGGUAGAGCACUGUUUCGGCUAGGGGGCCAUCCCGGCUUACCAACCCGAUGCAAACUGCGAAUACCGGAGAAUGUUAUCACGGGAGACACACGGCGGGUGCUAACGUCCGUCGUGAAGAGGGAAACAACCCAGACCGCCAGCUAAGGUCCCAAAGUCAUGGUUAAGUGGGAAACGAUGUGGGAAGGCCCAGACAGCCAGGAUGUUGGCUUAGAAGCAGCCAUCAUUUAAAGAAAGCGUAAUAGCUCACUGGUCGAGUCGGCCUGCGCGGAAGAUGUAACGGGGCUAAACCAUGCACCGAAGCUGCGGCAGCGACGCUUAUGCGUUGUUGGGUAGGGGAGCGUUCUGUAAGCCUGUGAAGGUGUGUCGUGAGGCAUGCUGGAGGUAUCAGAAGUGCGAAUGCUGACAUAAGUAACGAUAAAGCGGGUGAAAAGCCCGCUCGCCGGAAGACCAAGGGUUCCUGUCCAACGUUAAUCGGGGCAGGGUGAGUCGACCCCUAAGGCGAGGCCGAAAGGCGUAGUCGAUGGGAAACGGGUUAAUAUUCCCGUACUUGGUGUUACUGCGAAGGGGGGACGGAGAAGGCUAUGUUGGCCGGGCGACGGUUGUCCCGGUUUAAGCGUGUAGGUGUGUGUUCCAGGUAAAUCCGGUUCACUUUAACACUGAGGCGUGACGACGAGGCACUACGGUGCUGAAGCAACAAAUGCCCUGCUUCCAGGAAAAGCCUCUAAGCAUCAGGUAACAUCAAAUCGUACCCCAAACCGACACAGGUGGUCAGGUAGAGAAUACCAAGGCGCUUGAGAGAACUCGGGUGAAGGAACUAGGCAAAAUGGUGCCGUAACUUCGGGAGAAGGCACGCUGACACGUAGGUGAAGUGAUUUACUCAUGGAGCUGAAGUCAGUCGAAGAUACCAGCUGGCUGCAACUGUUUAUUAAAAACACAGCACUGUGCAAACACGAAAGUGGACGUAUACGGUGUGACGCCUGCCCGGUGCCGGAAGGUUAAUUGAUGGGGUCAGCGCAAGCGAAGCUCCUGAUCGAAGCCCCGGUAAACGGCGGCCGUAACUAUAACGGUCCUAAGGUAGCGAAAUUCCUUGUCGGGUAAGUUCCGACCUGCACGAAUGGCGUAAUGAUGGCCAGGCUGUCUCCACCCGAGACUCAGUGAAAUUGAACUCGCUGUGAAGAUGCAGUGUACCCGCGGCAAGACGGAAAGACCCCGUGAACCUUUACUAUAGCUUGACACUGAACAUUGAGCCUUGAUGUGUAGGAUAGGUGGGAGGCUU
rnacentral:rRNA from 1 species